ensembl:lncRNA
AUCAUUUUAAAACGCGCUUGAACUGAGAGGUCUGCUUGAGCCCAUCGCCCUGCAGCUCCAGGGAAAAGACACGUUGGAAUCUUGUGCUUCGAUAAUUUAUGGUUUCAAAUUUGUAUCAAACUGAGAAAAUUUCACUCAUAGUCCAGGUGCCGUUCUAACAGGAGUCAUUCCUAAAUAAGCUUCCUGGUCCUUCAGACAUAGGUUGGUGGUCGGCAGGUCUUAUGAGGAGUAAGCGGUAUGGUCCCAAAGGCCCUGGGCGUAGACCCCCGGGCACGCAGACCCCUGGGGCCCCCCAGCCCACCCCUCCUGCCUUGCAGAUUCUCGGGAGACAGCACACGCCAGGGAAGGCCGCCUCCUCCCGCCCCGCUGGGUCCUCCUCCAGUGAGGCCGGUGCACUUCUCAACCAACAGACGCUCCUCAGGUUUUUUCAUCCAAAGAGCUCAUUUAAGUGCGACGGAUUUCCAGAACAGUGAGGAGACAUUUCUGACCCUGGGAGAGAGGACCUGACCUUUCACUGACCUCCAGAUGACGCCGCAUUAGUCCUUGGAUUUCCAACACUCAGGUUCCCCGGGAUCCAUAGUUAGUGAAGUCUUAGUUAACCGGAAUCCUGUUUAGGAUUUUAUUGGCCAAAUCCUUUGCUAGAAUUCUAUUUUAACAGGCUCAGAAAUUUCCCAGGUACUUCUCUGAAGGCACCCUCACCUGAGGGGGUGGGUGGUAAGUGGGUGUCAUCUGCAGACAGGAAGACCACAGCCCUGGCACAGACCAGAGGACGCCCAGGGGCUCCGGGGACCAGAUGCGGGGCAGGGGCCUGUAUUGGAUUCUGACUCAGAAAAAGGACGUUCAUAGAAAAACCGGUGAGGUCCAGAUGAAACCUGGAGCUUAGUCAACAGUAAUGUUGAAGAAGGAAUUCAUGGGACCUGGACUCCCUCUGAGGCCUGUUCAUGCUGAUCAUGCUCGGCCAGCUCUCCAGUGGACUCUGAACUCUGUGUUUAGCGCCUAUGGAAACAGCAACAGAAGGGUAAGACCCCCUCCAGACCGGGGAACCUUGAAGGUCAUAUCUAGGUUACUCAUCGCCUAAGAGAAAACAUACGCUAAUCGCCCCUUCCUCCAGACAGGCCAUACAUUUUUCUGUAUCAAUCGGAGUGUAACCUCGGGUGUACUGAUUACUGGCUAAUUGUUUGUUUGAGCGCAUGAGCACAUAGCAGGUGAACGAUGGGGUUCUUGGGAUUGUAUUUUCCUUGGUUUAUGUAAGUCUCAAGGAAUUUGGAGCGGUGGGUUCAGACACGUACACAUGGGGUAUAAAAGAUUUUCACGAAUGCUGGUCGGGGUCCUUGGCUAAGAGGAGACUCUGCCUUGGGCCCGCCGGUAUAAUAAACUGCCCUCCCCCAUCUGCACUGUCCUUCUGAGGGAGUUUGUUUCCCGGAACACGUGGCUACAACAAUGUACCAACGGGAACUUCCUUGUUGUGACAAAAUGUACCAUAGUUACGUAAGAUGGAAAUGUUCGAGGGACUGGGCACAGGGUAUAUGGGAUUGCCGAUAUUUGUAACAUUUUCUGUAAAUCAGUAUUCCAAGAGAAAAAGUGGUUUGGAAAUAUAUGUCUCAACUUCAGACAUCAGUGAAUUCAGA